UGUUAAAAUUUUUAUCAAUUUUUAUUGUUAAAAAUUAACAUAACUGACUGAAUAACUAGAUAGUUCCACAUAGUGUAUCAUAUGUACAUUAUAUUGACGUACAUGGGUCAAUUUUUAACACUAAAAAUAGAUGAAACUUUUUAUA
rfam:Gossypium hirsutum cultivar TM-1 unplaced genomic scaffold scaffold288.1, whole genome shotgun sequence